UAAUUAGAUUCACAAUGUAUAGUCUUCGGCAUUUGUGUAUUUUAGAAAACGUUUGGUUGGAUGUGCUUUUGCAUGGUAAUUGGUACUGGGUGCUGGGUAGGCAAUAGUUGAAGUCCUAUUCUCUGGCCUUUUAUCCAGAGAUAAGGGUGAAGAAUUCUUGUGAGAAAACAAAAUUCAUUAUUCGAUGGAAUCAGAGUUAUUCAAGUGCAAAAGAAACACCAAGAAUUGAUGCUAAAUUGUGGUUUAUGAUAUCCCGCA
rnacentral:misc_RNA from 1 species